rnacentral:rRNA from 1 species
CCUACGGGUGGCUGCAGUGGGGAAUAUUGCACAAUGGGCGCAAGCCUGAUGCAGCCAUGCCGCGUGUGUGAAGAAGGCCUUCGGGUUGUAAAGCACUUUCAGCGGGGAGGAAGGCGUUAAGGUUAAUAACCUUGUCGAUUGACGUUACCCGCAGAAGAAGCACCGGCUAACUCCUUGCCAGCAGCCGCGGUAAUACGGAGGGUGCAAGCGUUAAUCGGAAUUACUGGGCGUAAAGCGCACGCAGGCGGUCUGUCAAGUCGGAUGUGAAAUCCCCGGGCUCAACCUGGGAACUGCAUUCGAAACUGGCAGGCUAGAGUCUUGUAGAGGGGGGUAGAAUUCCAGGUGUAGCGGUGAAAUGCGUAGAGAUCUGGAGGAAUACCGGUGGCGAAGGCGGCCCCCUGGACAAAGACUGACGCUCAGGUGCGAAAGCGUGGGGAGCAAACAGGAUUAGAUACCCCAGUAGUC